rnacentral:rRNA from 1 species
GACAGAGGAUGCAAGCGUUAUCCGGAAUGAUUGGGCGUAAAGCGUCUGUAGGUGGCUUUUCAAGUCCGCCGUCAAAUCCCAGGGCUCAACCCUGGACAGGCGGUGGAAACUACCAAGCUGGAGUACGGUAGGGGCAGGAGGGAAUUUCCGGUGGAGCGGUGAAAUGCGCAGAUAUCAGGAAGAACACCCGUGGCUAAGGCGGCUCUCUAGUACGGUACUGACGCUGAGACGCGAAAGCGUGGGGAGCGAACAGGG